rnacentral:rRNA from 1 species
CGAGUUUGAUCAUGGCUCAGAUUGAACGCUGGCGGCAUGCUUUACACAUGCAAGUCGAACGGUAACAGGCCUUCGGGUGCUGACGAGUGGCGAACGGGUGAGUAAUGCAUCGGAACGUGCCCAAUCGGUGGGGGAUAACGUAGCGAAAGUUACGCUAAUACCGCAUAAGCCCUGAGGGGGAAAGCAGGGGAUCGCAAGACCUUGCGCGAAUGGAGCGGCCGAUGUCAGAUUAGCUAGUUGGUGGGGUAAAGGCCUACCAAGGCGACGAUCUGUAGCGGGUCUGAGAGGAUGAUCCGCCACACUGGGACUGAGACACGGCCCAGACUCCUACGGGAGGCAGCAGUGGGGAAUUUUGGACAAUGGGCGCAAGCCUGAUCCAGCCAUGCCGCGUGCGGGACGAAGGCCUUCGGGUUGUAAACCGCUUUCAGCCGGAAAGAAAUCGCCAAGGCUAAUAUCCUUGGUGGAUGACGGUACCGGAAGAAGAAGCACCGGCUAACUACGUG